UGGAGGGACAAUAGAGCCCUGAGUACCAGGCCAUUAGGACCUGUUGGAGGGACAAUAGAGCCCUGAGUACCAGGCCAUUAGGACCUGUUGGAGGGACAAUAGAGCCCUGAGUACCAGGCCAUUAAGACCUGAUGGUAGUUAGCCAGUGUUUUGUGUACUACAUCAUCCAUUUAGUAUGAUAUGUUUAUUUUUUGUUGUUGUGCAAUUCCAUCCCGGACUGCAUCUUCAAGGAAGUACAGUGAAAUUCCAAUUCUCUACUAUGCUUUUUGAUAAGGACAAUUUGGAAUUGGAAUUUGGUUUACUUUUUGAAUUGCCUGGAAUUUAAAUGUAAUGGACACCAACCCUGUGGUGAACACAGCUCUGGUUUGAAGGGGAACCCUGGACUGACCAGGUUCAUUAAGGUUGAAGGGGAACCCUGGGCUGACCAGGUUCAUUAAGGUUGAAGGGGAGCCAUGGGCUGACCAUGUUCAUUAAGGUUGAAGGGGAACCCUGGGCUGACCAGGUUCAUUAAGGUUGAAGGGGAACCCUGGACUGACCAGGUUCAUUAAGGUUGAAGGGGAACCCUGAGCUGACCAGGUUCAUUAAGGUUGAAGGGGAACCCUGGACUGACCAGGUUCAUUAAGGUAGAAGGGGAACCCUGGGCUGACCAGGUUCAUUAAGGUUGAAGGGGAACCCUGGACUGACCAGGUUAAUUAAUGUUGAAGGGGAGCCCUGGACUGACUAUGUUCAUUAAGGUUGAAGGGGAACCCUGGGCUGACCAGGUUCAUUAAGGUUGAAGGGGAACCAUGGGCUGACCAUGUUCAUUAAGGUUGAAGGGGAACCCUGGGCCGACCAGGUUCAUUAAGGUUGAAGGGGAACCCUGGACUGACCAGGUUCAUUAAGGUUGAAGGGGAACCCUGGACUGACUAUGUUCAUUAAGGUUGAAGGGUAUCCCUGGGCCGACCAGGUUCAUUAAGGUUGAAGGGGAACCCUGGGCAGACCAGGUUCAUUAAGGUUGAAGGGGAACCCUGGGCCGACCAGGUUCAUUAAGGUUGAAGGGGAACCCUGGGCUGACCAGGUUCAUUAAGGUUGAAGGGGAACCCUGGACUGACCAGGUUCAUUAAGGUUGAAGGGGAACCCUGGGCUGACCAGGUUCAUUAAGGUUGAAGGGGACACUGGACUGACCAGGUUCAAUAAGGUUGAAGGGGAACCUGGGCAGACCAGGUUCAUUAAGGUUGAAGGGGAACCCUGGGCUGACCAGGUUCAUUAAGGUUGAAGGGGAACCCUGGACUGACCAGGUUCAUUAAGGUUGAAGGGGAACCCUGGGCUGACCAGGUUCAUUAAGGUUGAAGGGGAACACUGGACUGACCAGGUUCAAUAAGGUUGAAGGGGAACCUGGGCUGACCAGGUUCAUUAAGGUUGAAGGGGAACCCUGGGCUGACCAGGUUCAUUAAGGUUGAAGGGGAACCCUGGGCUGACCAGGUUCAUUAAGGUUGAAGGGGAACCCUGGGCUGACCAGGUUCAUUAAGGUUGAAUGGGGCAGUGGGGUGUUGGCUCGCGUUAGAAGGUGAUAAAUACACCAAAAGCUCAUGGCACUUUGCAGGAAAUCUUUUAAAACAAAAAGCAUUGAAAUAUGAAAAUAUCCUCUUCCUGUAUUUUAAACAUGUCGGACUUUUAGAUAUGUCCCAAAUGCUUCAACUUAUUUGACCUUUUUUCAAAAUGCAUACAUUUAUAUUGAACAAUGAUAAGUUCUGUAUAUGACUUGUAAAAUAUGACAUGAUUGUAUGUUCAUUGUAAAUACAUUAAAUACUAUUUUAGUUUUUACUAUG